GUUCGACAAGGGGCUUGUAUCCUGCAUAUAUAAGGAGUGUUUGCUAUGCAACAACAAGAACAGGCAAAAAUGAGGAUAAGAUGAUAAUAUAAGCUCCUGACAGCCCAGUCCUACUGUGACUGGAAAUUCUAAAUAGAACAUACAAGCUGCUAUGUGAGAACUCUAAAAGGAGAGGCAAAAGGAUACAGCACAAGGGAGUGCCAACAGAAUCUGAUUGGGGGACACAUCUGGAAAGGUGGUGUUAGGAAUAUCCAUGACUUAGGAAGAGGCAUGGUGAGGUGCCUCAGCCAGGGUCUGAAGAGUCUAAGAGGCU
rnacentral:lncRNA from 1 species